CAACCCUUAAGCCCCUGUUGCUUAGCGUUGGGAGCCUACAGCCUUCUGUAGCUCCUCAAAGUUAGUGGCGGAGUCGGUUUUCACUCUAGACGUAGUAGAUUCUAUCUCGUCUGUAGUGAGGCCGGUCCCCUGCCGUAAAAACCCCCCUAAUUUUAAA
rnacentral:misc_RNA from 1 species